UACAGAGGGUGCAAGCGUUAAUCGGAAUUACUGGGCGUAAAGCGCACGUAGGCGGUUUUUUAAGUCAGAUGUGAAAGCCCCGGGCUCAACCUGGGAAUUGUAUUUGAAACUGGGAAACUAGAGUGUGUGAGAGGGGGGUAGAAUUCCAAGUGUAGCGGUGAAAUGCGUAGAGAUUUGGAGGAAUACCAGUGGCGAAGGCGGCCCCCUGGCACAACACUGACGCUCAGGUGCGAAAGCGUGGGGAGCAAACAGG
rnacentral:rRNA from 1 species